rnacentral:lncRNA from 1 species
AAAUGAAAGGCUUCGGAAAUGAAAUGGGGAAACUAGGGGACCCAUCCAACACCCAAACCCACCAUAUUUUAACACACAAUUAUUGCAGAGAUUUUUGGUUUGGGCAGUUGCCAUGUUCUUUUUCGUCACCUAGAGGCUUUGGUCGGGAUAAUUGUUAAUUCAAACCAAUCCAGAGUUAACACUUGUAAGAUAUGUCUAUUGGAUAUUUUGAGGGAAUAUAAUGUCGGGAAAACCCUGAGAGGAAGAAACUUUGUGAUAGAAAAUGUGUUUGAAGAUGCUAUGGAAAAUCAUCUAAAGUUGAUGGCCAAAGCAUUUAAGCCUGCUUCGAUGCUUAUCCCAGAGUAAGGACUCAAUUUUCUAGUAUGUUCCUUGCGGCAACAACCAAUUUCACUUCGAUAUUUCCUACACGUUUUGAAUUACGGCUUUGAUUCUCUUUAUGUAUUAUUCUAAUGCUUUUAAGGUUUUCAAGGAAUAAAUGCUAUUAAUCCUAUCAUCUUGACAUCCAUAUUUACUCCUCUUUUUUUUUUUUGACAAAGAAAUCGAGGUAUAGUACUUAGUUGAGUCAAGCUCGCAAGAGUGAAAAGGCCCUAUUGAAAACUUGAUAGGCCCAUUAGCCCUAUACUAAGCGUGACUAUACCAGCCCCAUUACACUGAUGAGUUGAUACACUUGACAGCGUCGGCACCUUGUGUAUACCAGGAUGCAAUAUUUCUUGUUUGAGAGGCAAAUGAUAGUAAAACUUGAACCAUUAAUCCAGAUGUCGGCAAACAGUUGGAUUGAAUCCCCUUAUGAAUUAUCAGUUUAUACUAAUAGUUACUCCUCAAAGUUAAGCGAUUGCCUUCUAAACUUUUAAGUAUGCACAUCUUUUGUUGUACAUACGACCAGUCAAGUUGACAGGGAUCAGAGACUGUUGCUUCGGCAGUUGGCAACAACAACAUACUAAGAUUUGUAAGUGAAACAGAAAAGUGGAUCGAUUAGUCUGCUGCCAUGACAAAAGGUAUCAUCACAGCGACUUUUCGCUUUGACUACCGAAGAUUUGAUCUCACUACACAAUAGAAACCUCAUAAUCUAUACCCAUCGCAAACCUCACCCAAAUGAAAAAUUACACCAAUGUUGGAUCCAAUUGCUUUCUUUGCAUGGAAUUCUUUUACCAACUACAUCUACAGUACAUAUUUUUUCCUACAUAGCUGGAUUAAAACCUCAAUGGCUAGGUAUGGUAAAGACAAGAUGCCAUGGACUACGUAGCCGGGUCUGUGCUCAAAACCUCCAAAUUCUUGGUGCAUCCAUCAUUUAUAGAGGCUUCAGGUUGACUGUCACUUUUUUUAAUUAAUGAACAAUCAAUGGCAUUUUGACUCUCUUCAACCGGAUUUGUAAUAGCAUCUAGUUGAUUACCCUCAACCAUUGAUUUCUCAUUAGAAUGCGCAGCAACAACCUCAAGAUUCUUCGACUCAGAUUCUAGAUUUGACACGGCCGGUUUAUCUUCUCUAACUCCCUCACCUUGUUCAUUUUUUGACACACAUGCUCCAUUUUCUUUCACCAGCUCUUUAGGUAAACCGUCUGACAUAAAACUUUUGUUCUCUCCUGCAGCGUCCAGCUCUUCCUUCAGUGUACCAUCAACAGUUGGACUCGAGGUAACAGUAUUACACUGCUGAAUCGACACAUUUAAUGAUGAAGAAGAUGCAGAUGGAGUAUGCUCAACUCUUUGUAUUGGAGAUUUUACUGAACC